rnacentral:rRNA from 1 species
AAAUUGAAGAGUUUGAUCAUGGCUCAGAUUGAACGCUGGCGGCAGGCCUAACACAUGCAAGUCGAACGGUAACAGGAAACAGCUUGCUGUUUCGCUGACGAGUGGCGGACGGGUGAGUAAUGUCUGGGAAACUGCCCGAUGGAGGGGGAUAACUACUGGAAACGGUAGCUAAUACCGCAUAACGUCGCAAGACCAAAGAGGGGGACCUUCGGGCCUCUUGCUAUCGGAUGUGCCCAGAUGGGAUUAGCUAGUAGGUGGGGUAACGGCUCACCUAGGCGACGAUCCCUAGCUGGUCUGA